rnacentral:rRNA from 1 species
GAUGAACGCUGGCGGCGUGCCUAAUACAUGCAAGUCGAGCGAACGGACGAGAAGCUUGUUUCUCUGAUGUUAGCGGCGGACGGGUGAGUAACACGUGGAUAACCUACCUAUAAGACUGGGAUAACUUCGGGAAACCGGAGCUAAUACCGGAUAAUAUUUUGAACCGCAUGGUUCAAGAUUGAAAGACGGUCUUGCUGUCACUUAUAGAUGGAUCCGCGCUGCAUUAGCUAGUUGGUAAGGUAACGGCUUACCAAGGCAACGUUGCAUAGCCGACUUGAGAGGGUGAUCGGCCAAACUGGAACUGAGACACGGUCCAGACUCCUACGGGAGGCAGCAGUAGGGAAUCUUCCGCAAUGGGCGAAAGCCUGACGGAGCAACGCGGCGUGAGUGAGGAAGGUCUUCGGAUCUUAAAACUCUGUUAUUAGGGAAGAACAUAUGUGUAAGUAACUGUGCACAUCUUGACGGUACCUAAUCAGAAAGCCACGGCUAACUACGUG